GAUGAACGCUGGCUACAGGCUUAACACAUGCAAGUCGAGGGGAAACGCCGGGGAAGCUUGCUUCCCCGGGCGUCGACCGGCGCACGGGUGAGUAACGCGUAUCCAACCUGCCUCUGACUGAGGGAUAACCCGUCGAAAGUCGGCCUAAUACCUCAUGGUAUCGUCUGCGGGCAUCCAACGACGAUUAAAGAUUUCAUCGGUCAGGGAUGGGGAUGCGUCUGAUUAGCUUGUUGGCGGGGUAACGGCCCACCAAGGCUACGAUCAGUAGGGGUUCUGAGAGGAAGGUCCCCCACAUUGGAACUGAGACACGGUCCAAACUCCUACGGGAGGCAGCAGUGAGGAAUAGUGGUCAAUGGGCGAGAGCCUGAACCAGCCAAGUAGCGUGCAGGAAGACGGCCCUAUGGGUUGUAAACUGCUUUUAUGCGGGGAUAAAGUGAGGGACGUGUCCCUCAUUGCAGGUACCGCAUGAAUAAGGACCGGCUAAUUCCGUG
rnacentral:rRNA from 1 species